rnacentral:rRNA from 1 species
UACGUAGGUCCCGAGCGUUGUCCGGAUUUAUUGGGCGUAAAGCGAGCGCAGGUGGUUUAUUAAGUCUGGUGUAAAAGGCAGUGGCUCAACCAUUGUAUGCAUUGGAAACUGGUAGACUUGAGUGCAGGAGAGGAGAGUAGAAUUCCAUGUGUAGCGGUGAAAUGCGUAGAUAUAUAGAGGAACACCGGUGGCGAAAGCGGCUCUCUGGCCUGUAACUGACACUGAGGCUCGAAAGCGUGGGGAGCAAACAGG